CUUUUCCCGGACUCCCUCCCAGCUAGCCAUGGCGCACUAACCCCCUGCAGGCUGUGUUCACGCCGCCAACACCAGUCCUCUCCCUGCGCUCCGACCGAACCCCAAGCCUCAGCUGCCAGCCUUCCCGACACGGCGAGUGAGCCAACAAGCCUCUCAGGCUGAUUUCUCUCCCUUUACACAAGAGGGCGCUGGAGCCCAAGGUACUGCACUCUUGGCUUGGAGAAGAGGAUCGAGGGAAAGGCGGAAAAGCCGUCUGGCUGUGUUCCAGUUGAUGGCACUAGCUCUGCCAGCUGGAGGUUCAGGUGUUUCAAGUUUGACUCUCCUUGGACUCAUGUACCUAAACUCCAAUCUCUCCCUUUUCCACAUCAAAACUGAGCAAUCCUGAGUGAGCUUCAAUUACUCAAGAUCCUUCUAAAAGAUUGAAGAAGAUUAAGAGAGAAUGAAUAUUUGGAGGGAAGAUCAUCAAAUCCCCAGUUUUGGGCUGGUUAAAUCAGAGAUAGGUAUAAAACAUCUAAAUGGAGAAGUGUCUGGUGCCCUGUUCUCCAGACAGAGAGCCACUUCCUUACGAACUGAAGCUUUGUGACGGGGAAUGCUGAAGCAGGGAGCAGAAGUGAGGGCUGUGAGAAGUCUCAAAUGACCAGGCCCCCCUAAGGACUCCUGAAUUCUACCUUCUAAGUGGAUAUGUGUGAUUGUGACUUAUGUUUUUGACUUGGGCAAUGGUUUUAUUAAAAUAGGAAAAAA